rnacentral:rRNA from 1 species
AUACGUAGGGGGCUAGCGUUAUCCGGAAUUACUGGGCGUAAAGGGUGCGUAGGUGGUUUCUUAAGUCAGAAGUGAAAGGCUACGGCUCAACCGUAGUAAGCUUUUGAAACUAAGAGACUUGAGUGCAGGAGAGGAGAGUAGAAUUCCUAGUGUAGCGGUGAAAUGCGUAGAUAUUAGGAGGAAUACCAGUUGCGAAGGCGGCUCUCUGGACUGUAACUGACACUGAGGCACGAAAGCGUGGGGAGCAAACAGGAUUAGAUACCCUGGUAGUCCACGCCGUAAACGAUGAGUACUAGCUGUCGGGGGUUACCCCCCUCGGUGGCGCAGCUAACGCAUUAAGUACUCCGCCUGGGAAGUACGCUCGCAAGAGUGAAACUCAAAGGAAUCGACGGGG